rnacentral:lncRNA from 1 species
UCUUUUUAGGGUAAUCCCAACCAUCUCCUUAUUUUUUUCUCUUUUUUCUCUCCUCUUUUGUAUGAGGAUUCAGAUCUCAUCACCAAACAAAUCUAUAAACUUUCUCCUCUUUCUACACAAAUAUUUGUCGUCCACCUCCUUUUAUUUUUUUGAUCCCUUUGUUUUUGACAUGACAGGUAUGGUAUACUUUGCUUUUCUGGGGGUCUCUACUAUUCUUGCCUUCUUGUUUUUUUGUUUGCUUGUUUCAUGAAAUUUUUUAUAUCUUCUUUGAUGAAAAUUGUGUAUAUCAUAAUCUUACAUUAGUUGUUUACAUCUGUUAUUUUUAUUUAUUUAGUCAUUACCCAUAUCAUAUUUAUUUAUGGACUAUUUUUUAUUAAAUAAUUAAAAAAAGUCAUGACCCUUGAGUUCUUCCAACAAAUGGUUCAUUUGUUGCAGCAGAUUGGUCAUCCCUUGGAAAAACUAAAAACCUGGAUUGAGUUCUACCAACAGAUGACUCAUCUCUUACAACAGAUGAGUCAUCUGUUGGGAGAGCUUAAGAAGCUUGGAACUAUUGGUGAUGUUUGUUUAUUUUGUUUGUUAUUGGUUUUGUUACUUGUUUUUAUUUUGUUAAUGUUCUUGUCAAUGCUGUUGGUGUUAUUUGUAUUUUUGGUGUUGGCAGUAGUGGUAUUGGUGGUGUUGGUAUUGCAACAGUUGGAACAUAUAAUAGAAGAUAUUAAAAUAGGUUUUCCAAUAGAUUCUCCAUCUGUUGCAACUGAUGAAUUAGCUAUUGGAAUAAAUUAAAAUAGCUCUUCCAACAGAUGACCCAUCUGUUGCAAAAAAUGGAUCACCUGUUGGAAGAAAACAAACUAGUAACAAUAGUAUCUUGAUUUCUUCCAACAAAUGACUUAUCUGUUGCAACAUGUUGGUCAUCUGUUGUAAUAGAUAGGUCAUCUGUUGGAAUUCUUAUUGUAAUGUAUUGUAUUAUUGAAUUUUGUAUCACUAUUUUUUUAAAAUUAUUCAGACAUCAAUUGUAAUAUUUUUUUUUAUUUCUCUCUUAUUCAUAGAUAAAAGAUAUAUUCCAAAAGAAAAGGAAGUGAAAGUGGAUCAACUUUUGCCCAACCAACAUAAAAGGCUAGAGUAAAGAAAGGUUUGGAGGAAUAAGCUUCUUGCAGAUAGAACCACUUCAUAUGUGGGAGGUAUGUAUUACUGAUCAUAUUAUCGUGAAAAAACACAUAAAGUACAAUGACUUUGUGAAUGUUGUUUUUUACCAAUUAGGCAUUGAUCAUUCAAACAAGAUAUUGCAUUUUAUAGUUAAGUUUGAUAGGUCCAAACUGAUAAGGCUGAGGGAUCUAGAAGGUUGUCCCGAUACCUUUUUAUAAUUUCAUGAUAGUUUUGCUCAUGUUUAUAUAUCAAGUUCGGAGAAGGGGUCAAUUUUUGGUGGCAGUGUAGAGAUUCAAUAGUGAUUGGACUUAUUUUAAGGGUUCAACAGACUUUUGAAAGGCCUCCAAAGCCUCUCACUGCUACAAACAAGAAUGGAAAUCCCAUAGAAAUUUCUCUAGUCCAAAUUUAUACGAAUGGUUUCUCAAGGUGAUGAUUAUACAGUAAAAGAUGCUUGGGAGAAUAUCUGCGAGAGAAGGGGGAGUUGUUGAAGACUAUCUCAACUCAGACCUUACUAAACAAAAUAAACACAAGGUAGCAAGGAAAUUGUAGCGAAUUUGGCCGAUGAAGUUGACACGAAAAAUGAGAAAACUGAAUGAUUUGCAAAAAUAAAAAUCCAUCACUUGUUAUUGAAAAGAAAAAUGGUACAGUGAACUGGAGAUGUGCACUUUGCCAGGAACUGUGAUUAGUUAGUGUGGUCUGAAUGAUCACCUCCAAAGAAAGAAACACAAGCCCAAGGAAGCCGCUUUUAGAGCACCGAUGGAUGGAAAGAUGUACAUUCAAGAAUGAUACUUGCGCCAAGAACUGCUGAAGUUAAAAUAAGGGAUCAAGCCAAGGUGGCAAUUUCUGAAGUUAAACUUGCAUCCUAUGCCUUCUGUUUGUGGUUCUGGUAACUUCAAUCACAGUGGAAUGAAAAAGGCAUGGAAUUUCUUCUCAACUUGCAUCCUACUUACUCACCUGUUGCAACAGAUAAAUCAUCUGUUUGAAUCAACUUUAGGUUCUGUUGACAUAGGUGAGUCAUCUGUUGCAAAAGGUGAGUCAUUUGUUGAAUAGAUGACCCAUCUAUUGGAUUCAUGUUACAACACUAUAUAACCUUUAACAUAAAUCCGACAAAUGUGUUAUCUAUUUAACAUAUGACUAACUUGUGGCAACAGAUGACUCAUUUAUUGGAUUCAUGUUCAGGUCCUAUUUAUUGUUGAAAAAUAAAAGUAGCAGUGUACCUAGAUGAGAAAUUCAACUAAAAAUCAUAAUUUAACUUAGCAAAAUCACCUAUGAAGUAAUGCCCAAGUGAUAUAUGAACAAAAUUAGCAGCAGUAGCGGUAACAACAACAACGAUCAACAAGAAGAAGAUGAUAAUGAUGAUGAUGAACAAAGAUCACUAAAAAGGCUGUAAAAAGGUCUCUUUCUCUAAAAAAGAGACUUCAAAAGCGACCUCAACGGAUGGUCUCUAAAACAUAGGUCGCUUUUUGUAAGAGACCUCAUGAGGUCGUUUGAAAGCAACCUCACGAGGUCACUAGGUUAUUUUUUGAACUUUCUAAAAAAGACCUCAUGAGAUUGCUAAACUAAUUUUUUUAUAAUUAUUAUUAUUUUAUUCAAGGAGACCUCAUAAGGUCUCCAUUUGAUUUUAUUUUUUUAUUUUUAAAAUUAAAAGACACUUCAUCAGGUGACUAUUAUUUCUUUAUUUUUUUAUCAUAAACAUUUAUUUAAAACAUAAGCGACCUCUUACAGUCCCUUAUUUGAGUGCCUAGAAAAUGACAUUGUGAAAAAGAAACCUCCUGAGGUCGCUUUUGUUCAUUUCCACGAAAACAAAAAUACAAAAUAUUGACUUCAUGAGGUCUUUUUUAUGCGAAAAAAAUUAAUGGCAAUAAAAGCUUUUACAAAUACCUGCCAUUUUAAUUCAAUUCAAUAGUAUAUACAAUCUAAUCAACUUAAUCGAACUCCAAGAGCUCUCAACAAUCAAUCAAACUACAACGCACACACGUACUAAUACAAUGAACACUAAAUGAAAAUCAACUUUAAAGUACCUUGAAAUUGAACGAAAGAACAUCGUUAAGAGUACAGAAUAGACAUACACAAGAUACUAGUAGGUCCACAUUCUUUAUCGUCUUCAGAGCUUCAGGAUCCAUACAGAUUGCCAUAUUUAUACACUUCAAAAUCGAUACAGUAGCAACAUUAAAUAAGACAACAAAAAGACAAAAUGAUGGCACACGACCACUUCAAGGAAAGAUGAGAUAUUGUAACAAAGACUUUACAUGGAUGAUAGUUAUUCUUCUAUUUUUAGCAUGCUGCAUUUUCACCAACUUCCAAGAUUUAAGCAAACUUUAAUGAAUCUUUAACAAAACUAAUUUAGUGUAGGAAAGAACUAGAAAUUUAUGAUUAUUUAAACUAGUGUAGGAUCUGUAGAAAAAAUAUUAAGCUUGUGUAGGAUAGAAACAAGAAUUUUCCUUAAGCAACCUAUUUUCUUUACAUCCUAGCAAUAUGAGUCCACUGAUUUCUUCUCUCUUGAGUUGUUUUUGAAAUCCUCUACUACAUUGAUUAUACAACUUUUCUGGCACUCUGAUUUUCAUGUGAUUUGUUGCUUCUAGAACUGCUGGUCUACCUCAGUAUGGCUACCUUGGUCAUGCUACUGACAAUGAGGUACACUUAAAGAAAAAGUUUCAGUUAAUUUUUAAAUAUUUUGUGACAAGGACAAAGACUUCCAAUAUUUUCAUGUUAUGUUCGGAAGUUCGAGACUUCACCAAUUGUAUAACAAUCUCAAAUUACAAUGUUUCCUAGCAGACAAUGAUAUGUCAUGGCAAGAUCAUCCGUUCAAUUUAAUUGAUAAUGAUGCAACUUAUUGGUGAUACUACUUCUGCAUAAAUUGAAAUAAAAAUUAACAUGAAAUUAGAUGAGUAGUUGUUAUCUUCCCUAAAUUAUCUUGUAUUAUGUUUAAUGCCUUUUUGCCUAUUGAAAUGUAAUGAGCUCUUUAUUUUAUUUUUUGCUAACAGGGUGGAAUUCUUAACCACAUUACGACUACUUUCUAAAUACUGAAAUGUUUCUCACCUUUCUACAACAUGUAGUUGAUAAGUUUUGUGGAAAGCACAUUUUCCAUGAAAUAAUCAGUGUUUUUCUAUUUCUAAAAAAAUCAGUGUUCUUAUCUUUCAUAUUGGAGUCCUUUACUCUGCAUAUCACUCUAUCAUUUCAUAAUGAUCUAAGGUCUAAUAUUUCUCCAAAUUAAGUAGAGAAACCUAGACUUAAAUGCAGCAAAUCGGAAAGACCAUAUCCAAUCUUUUCUCCUUUUAUGACAAGACCCUUGAUGUUUAAAUUUGAAACUUAUUGUAAUAAAGGCAUUCACACAGUAGCAUCUUUAUAUUUGAACUGGGAGUUGUUGCUUUCUUUGUUUGAUUUAGGGAAGCUCUGUAACAUGCAUUAUAAUACCAAAGAUAGCUCUGUAAGACUAACUUAUGAAUCUCAACCCUGACCUAGACCUAUAGCCUCCUAUUCUGGAGAAACUAUAAUCAAAGUAGCCUGUGGAACAAAUCACAUGGUUUCAUCUUAACUUCAUUUUAAUAAAUAUUGUCCUCUUUCAGAUUUGUUAAGUGCAGUAACCUUCUUUUUUCUAGUUUUCAGUUGCCGUGGAUAAGAAUGGAUAUAUUUACACGUAAGUUUUAGUAGGAAACCAGAAUUCUACAUAUAACCAUCAAGCAUGUAAAUCCAUAUUACUAGUUCUAAAUACUUGCACCAAUAACUAAGGGAAAAAAGAUGGUUGGAACAAGUUGUAUUCUUACUCAUGUCAUUGCUUGUCAUUGCCCUAAUAUGUGUUUUCUCCGCAAGCUUAAUCAGGAUAAUAUACAUGUACCAUAGACCAUACAAUAUUCACCAGGAGAAUACAAGUCCAAUUCAAAAACCAAUAUCAGGAAUUGAAAAGUAGCAGUAACAAUAAAAAGAAGAGUAUAACAAAGAAAAGAAGAGUAUGGGAAUGAUCAAUAAGAACAACAAAAAACCAUAUACACAGUUCUGAUAAUUAAUAAAACGCCCAACUACUCAAAAAAUCGCAUAAAACCUCUAACUAUUCGAUCGAAAAGCAUAGAUUCACAAUUUGAAAUACAGUUUUGAAAAAAGAACAAGAAAGACGAAAAGCAUAGGAACGCAGUUUAAAGACAAAGACAACAAAACCAUCAACUAUUCAUUACAAUCUUCAUAUUUUGGGAAAAUUAAAGGAGACCCAAGAGAUUCAUAAAUUCACAUAAAUAAGAAAAAAACAAUGCUUACAGCCUUACUUGGACUGAAAUAGCUGACCUUACUUUGUGAGACAGAGCUUGAAUUUGAGAGAGGGAGGCUCCAAUUUGAGAGAGGGGUUUUGAGAAAGAGAGUCGAUUUGAGAAUGGAAGCUAGCCUCUUUAGUUUUUCUUUUAAACUAUAAUAAUAAAUAUUUAAAAAAUAAAUGUUUUGCUUCAGACUUCAUAAAUUAGUGAUAGAUAAUUAUUCUUAAUAAUAAAUUUAAUUAUUAAAAUAAUAGAGACCUCACAAGGUCCCAAUAUUUAAAAUUUUAAAAAUAAUUUUAAUUAUUUUGACACUAAUUUUUUCGCAUUUUAUUUUCGACCUAUUGAAGUCUUUAUUAUUAUGGCAUUGAUUUUUUAUUAGCAUUUAUCGACUUCAUGAGAUCUCUUUAUUUUAAAAUAAAUUUAAAAAAUCAAUUAAGGGAAUAAGCGACCUCAUCAAGUCUCUUAUUUUAGGUCUCUUUUUAUAACUUUUUUAGUAGUGUUAAAGAAGAGAUGAUAAUGAUAAUGAAAAAGAAGAUGAUGAAUAACGUAAGCAAAGCAGCAGCAAGAAGCAAUGAACAACAAUAAAGCGAAGAGAGAGAAAAUAACAAUAAAUGCGAAGAGAGAGACACGCCGCAUUUUUUUCCUCCUUUUCUAGUUAUAUUAGGGUAAAUUGGAUCAAAGUGUAAAUUAAAAAGUUUGAAGGCUAUUCUCAACUUUCUUAAUCCGUAAUCAAAUAGUUAUCACCUACACAAAAUUAUUAAAACUUAGUCACCUACACCUCAUUUUCAAACUUUUUUAUCGCAUUUAACUGAAAACCCUGAGUUUGCUUGAUGUGAAUUUAAUAUUAUUGGGGAACAACGGUAAAACACCAAUAACAAUAUAAUUAAACUAUUAACAAAAUAAUAAUAUAACAAUAAUAAUAUUAGCAGUAUAAUAACAUAAUAGUGUAUACUAAUAUUAAUACUUCAAUAAUAAUAUUAUCUUCAAUAUAAUAACUAUAACAGUAGUAUAAUUACUUCUUAACAAGUUAAUAAUACUAAAUAUUAAAAAAAUACUAUAAUGAUAUGAUUUUAAGUAAUAUAUUAAUUAUACUUGAGUCGUGUUGGACACUGUCCUAAGAAAAUAUGUCAGCAGUGUGAAAUAUUUUUCCAAAAUCAAACAAGCACUUCCUUUAUUAAUUAGAGGAUAUUCUGAGUUAAAUAAAUCUUACCUAAUUAACCAGAGGAUACAGGAAUCAACAAAAUUAUAAUGCAAAUAUCAGCAAGUUAAACUAGAGGUUUACUAAAUAAUAACCAAAAUCACUAAGGAAUAUAAUAUAAAGAGGGAAGAGGAAAAUGUCGAAAAGGAAGGAGAUUGAAACACGAAUGUUAAGGUUUUUUCUUUCUUGGUGUCAUUGCAGAAUAAGAAUGAGUUCCUUUUUAUAGAUUUAAGGGAGGUCUUUUCUGUUGACAAGUGUCAAGUUAAGUGGCAUAAAUUGUGGCUUACAAGCUGCCACCACACAAGCUUCCCAAGCACACCUCUUGAUCGCUUCCAAAAUAAGCAUUUUAAGUGAUUUCUAAAAUACAUUUUAUAGACAUGACUUUUUCAAUACAUUUCAAGAGAAAAUUAUUUUGAAAUAAAUAAAUAUUUUUCCUACAAUCCCCACAUUAUUUCAAUAAUUUAUAGAAAAAAGAGUUUUAACUUGUUGUAUUUGCAUGGACAAAAUGCAGUGGGUUUGGUGUCUUCUAGAUUAUGAACCAAACUUAGACCAAUAAAAUUUAACUUACAGAAUUAUCGGUGAAAUAUAAUAUUUCUAUGAACCGAAUAAUUUUAUUGUAAGCCAGAGAUUUUAUCAAUCACUUUUUUACCAUAAUUGUUCAACGCAGUUUUGCGCCAAUUGGUCAUGCAUGUGCCUGGUAUUCAUGAGAGCUCUAGUGACUAAGGCCAAAAGUCUCAUAGGAACGGCCUCAUUCUACUUCUCAUAUAAGUGAAUUCAUGAUGUGUACAUUGCUUUAAAUACACCAUCCAUAAGGACUAUAAAUUCGUUAAGAGUUUGUAGCUCAUCCCUUAAUUUUAGUAGUAGUUCUAGUACUCUCAGUUAAUGCACAGAGUCAAUAUCGACUUGUUAUUACAUAUAUGAACCUACUUCAUUGGAUCUCCAAUCACAUAGGUUGGGUUCUCAUCUCUAUUGACAAUCAUAUUGGCAUUAACCUCAUCUCUUUUGAGGCUUGAAGAAUUAAUUUUCUUCCCACAGGUUUAGUCAGUGAAUCGGCUGAAUUUAAUUCUGACUUCAUAUAAUUAAUGAAAAUUAUUCCAUUUUUCAGCAGUUGUUUAAUAACAUCAUGCCUCAAUUUCAUUUGUCUACCCUUACAAUUGUAAGAUUUAUUCUUCGCAGUAGAAAUUGGGGCUUGAAAAUCACAGUGUAUAUACAUAGGAGGCACCAGAUCAUUCUUUUUAAAAAGGAUAUUUGCUAAGAAAUUUCUUAGUCAUUCAGCCUCAGUACUAGCUAACUUCAAAGUAACAAACUCUGAUUUUAUAGUUGAUCUAGCAAUGAUCGUCUGCUUAGUUGAUCUCCAUGAUACUGUGCCACUACCAAGGGUGAAAACAUACCCGCUAGUGCAUUUUGUAUCAUCUGAAUUAGAGAUUCAGUUUGCAUCACAAUACCCUUCUGAAGUAGAAGGAAAUCCACUAUAAAAAAUACCAUAAUUCACAUCCUCUCAAAUAUUUCAUCAAUCGCAUUAAUGCAAAACAAUUCUCAUUAUUUUGAUUAUGAGUAUAUGUACUCAAUCUGCACAAAGCAUAGGCUAUAUCAUGCCUAGUAAAAUUCAUUAAAUGCAUUAGACUCCCAAUGAUCUGUGCAUACUUAGACUGAGCAAUUGGGUCACCAUUAUUCUUUUUUAAUUUAGAAUUAGCAUCAUAAGGAGUGGCUACAGGAGUUAUCUUCCAACAUUCAAACUUCUUAAGAAGUCUUUCCACAUAAUGUUCUUGUGACAACAUUAUACCAUCUUCACUCCUUAUAACUUUAAUUUCCAAUAUCAUAUUAACUUCACCCAAAUCUUUCAUAUCAAAGUUAGUAGACAAAAAUAGUUUGGUACGUUCUAUAAUAUUAAAACAUAUACCAAAUAUAAGCAUGUCAUCAACAUAUAAGCAAAUUAUUACAUAAUCACUAUCUACUAAUUUUGUAUAAACAUAUUUAUUCACCUCAAUAGAAGAAAAACCAUCUUUUAUUAAGACUUGAUCAAAUUUCUCAUGCCACUGUUUCGGAGCUUGUUUAAGGCAAUAAAGAGAUUUAAUUAAUUUACAAACUUUAUUUUUUUGUUCAGAAAUUACACAUAUUUCUGGUUGAGCCAUAUAAAUUUUUUCUUCUAAAUCUCCAUAUAAGAAAGCUGUUUUUAUAUCCAUUUGAUGGAUAAAAAGCUUAUGAAUUAAUGCCAAAGCAAUUAAUAUUCGAAUAUAAGAAAUUCUUUUUACUGGUACAAAUGUAUCAAAAUAAUCAAUAUUUUUCUUUUUGAGAAAAUUCUUUAGCUACUAACUGAGCUUUAUAUUUAUCUAUAGAUCCAUCCAGAUUAAGUUUCUUUUUGAAAAAUCAUUUACAACUAAUCGGUUUUGCACCAGGAGGUAAAUCGGUUAAAACCCAUGUAUUAUUUAUCACAAUUAAAUCAAGUUUAAUUUUUAUUGCCUCUUUUCAAAAUUUAGCAUCAGAAGAAGAUACAACUUCAAAAUAAUUUGAUGUUUCAUUAUCAACAAGAAAAGUUUGAAAAUCAUUUCCAUAAGAAAAUAUUCUUUUCUAGGCCUUUUACUCCUUCUUAGUUCCUCAAUAUUAGAGGUCAAUUCAUUUUCUCUUUCAACAGGUGCAUGAGAGAUUUUAUUAAAUAGUGAAAAAAUACAUUCAAAGAAUUCAAAAUUCUUUGUCUCGAUUAAAGUAUUACUAUCAAGUACAUCACUUUUCAAUACAAGAAAUCUAUAUGCAACACUACGUUCAACAUAUCCAAUAAGCAUGCAAACAUUAGUUUUAGAAUCUAUUUUCCUUUUUUUAGGUUCAGAAAGAAGAAUUUUAGAAAUGCAACCCCACACUUUUAAAUAUUUCAAAUUAGGUUUAUAAUCUUUCCAUAAUUCAUAAGGAGUUUUUCCAUUUUUUAUGAGGAAUUUUUUUUUAUAAAUAACAUGCAGAUAAAAUAGCUUCAACCCACAAAUUAUCAAGUGCAUUAGAAUUAAUUAACAUAGAGUUCAUUAUUUCUUUCAAUGUCCUAUUUUAUAUUUUAGAUACACCAUUAGACUCAGGUGAAUAAGGCGGAUAUACUUCAUGAAUAAUUUCUUCUUUUUCACAAAAAGCAUUUAAAGAUACAUAUUUGUAAUACCCCGUAUUUUCGUGCUAGAAUUCUAACCGUCGUUCCUACACGUCUAAGCUCUAAUCCAAGUGGUUCUCAUAUGAAUAUAAGUUUCAUGAGACUUAUCCUCAUGUUUGAAUUGAUUUUGAGGUGAAAAAUGUUCAUAGAAAUCAUUUAGAGCCAAGUUGAGCUAAGAUCCUUUGAUUCGUCCAAAAAUUUGAUAUUCGAUUCUACAAUGGUCUACUUUAAAUAUGUAUAACUUUUUAUAUAAAUGGAAAUUUUCAUCUCAAGACCCACCAAAUUGUAGAUAAUUGAAUUAACUUGCCAAUGAUACCAAUUUCGCCAAAAUCCGAUACAUAAACGAAAAGUUACAACCAUUUUAGUGAAGAGACAGUAAGCCGAGGCGAUAUGUCUACGGCGCCCUACCUAUUCCGACUAGAGUAAUUUUCCACAAUCAAGAUCCGCAUCUAAGAGGGGUAUUUGGAUUAUUUUCCACCUUUAAAUAGCACCCAAAAUAUGAAAUUCAGCCCCCAAUAACCAAAAUAUACUCACUUUCUCUCAAAUUCUCUCAAGAACAAACCUUAGGGUUUUAACCCAAGGUUCAAGAAUCCUCAAGAUUCCACUGUUUUUUGUAUUGAUUCAAGAUUCAAGAUUCCCAAACCAAGAGUUUCAAGAGACUACAUUCAAGAACGCAAUAGAGUCUCAAAAAGGAAGUUGUUCAUCUAAGUUCAUUGUCCAAGGUAUGUGAGAUUUGAACAAGAAUAAUUCUUUCAUUCAUAUGCCCAAAGAUUUGAAUUUUAUUAAACAUUUCAUGAUUUGCAAGUUGGGGUUUAUACCUAAAUCAUCUUGAUUUGAGUUUAUGAAUUUAUAAGUGUAAGCCUUGAAUUGCAUGUUUAUUUCACAUAUUUUAUGUUUUAAAUUGAGGAUUUAUACCAUGAAUUGUACAUCCCUAUAGUGAAUUGAUAUUUUCAAGUGUUCCCAAGAUAGUUGUCAAGAAUUAAGCUUCAUUAUGGAAUUGUGAUCAUUUCAGUAUAUAUAUGCUUUAAAUCCAUGUAAGAAUUUUUAUAUCUCGUGAAAAGUAUAUUAUUAGUAUGUUUUUAACAAGAAAGCAUUCAAAUUUUAAAGAAAGGUUGAUCUUUGAUCCUAAGCUAAGAUAGGAAUCCACAUUAUUUAUGAUUUAAAGCAAAGAGAAGCAUAAUUGGUCUUUACUAUACAUCCUUGUACUAUUUUAAGGUGGAUUUUCUAAAAGUUUUGAGCAUAAGUAUGGAAGUAGUAUUUAGCACCAAGUUGGGUAUGAUUCCAAGGUCUCAUACUCCAGAACUACAAGCCACCGUAGGUUUAUGAUUUUCCCAUAGUGGGAUAAGAUAGUGAUAACUUAAGUUAAGGUUCUAUUCUGAUGGCAAGGGUAGAACAAAUCUCCCCAAUGUGGGCAAGACGUUGGACUCCAUGCCAGCUCACAUGGUUUAUGUCGGUUAGAAGAAACUCUCAAAGUCCUACAAUCCUUAAGUUUCAAAAGAAGUCCCCUAUUCUCCUUAAGAUGAAUGUAUAUGUGUUUGAAAGUUAUUGUUUUAAGAUUUCCCAAGUUACCAAAGCCCAAGUCUUUAAGUCCCAAAGUUCUCAAGUCUUAAAAGAAGAGAUGAAUAGAAAAGAUUUUAUAAAACUAAGUGUAAAGACUCACAAACUUAUUCAGAUAUUGAAUUACUUGAUAUUUCAGUUGCAAAGUUAUAGUUCUUAGCUUUCAGACACAAAGGUGAGCUUUUUUUCACUUAGCCUAUAUGAUUUGAGAACAGAAUAGAAAUGCAGAUUUUAGAACUAAAUGUUAUAGAUCACAAUAUUUGUGGUUUAUGCUUUAUUAUCUAUGAUUUAUGAUCUUUAGCUUUUAGAUUUCUCAAGCCUAUGUAAGUUAAUUCAUUUAGCAUAUAUGAUUUUAUAAACUGUGAUGAUAUUGAGAUAUUAUUUUACUUAUGCAUUCAAUCCCAUAUACUCAGUACAUCCUCAAAGUACUAAUCCACAUAUACCUCUAUGUUCUACAUUAUCUCAUAAUAUAGGUACGAGUUUUAGUAUGCAUAUUCAGAUUCAAACAGUUGCAGAUUCCAGCCUGUGAGAUGAUGAGUCCUCCUUCUUUAGGGACUUCAGUUAUACUUAUUUACAUUCUUUACUUUCUUAUUCAUAUGUAUUGAUUAGCAAUAGUUGGAGUAGCUUUCCAACUAUUUAUAGUUAGUAUUAGUAGAGGCUUCAUAGACAGUUAGUAGAGUUAAUGUAUUCAGUUUUAGUUUUCUUUAUAAAAGCAGAGUUGUAAUCAUGUGAAUUCAGUUUUGUAUUGAUCAGAUUCAGAAAAGAGUUAUCU